GUGAGGAAUAUUGGUCAAUGGGCGAAAGCCUGAACCAGCCAUGUCGCGUGAAGGAUGAAGGUCCUAUGGAUUGUAAACUUCUUUUGCAGGAGGGUAAAGUGAGCUACGUGUAGUUCAUUGCAAGUACCCUGCGAAUAAGCAUCGGCUAACUCCGUGCCAGCAGCCGCGGUAAUACGGAGGAUGCGAGCGUUAUCCGGAUUUAUUGGGUUUAAAGGGUGCGUAGGCGGACUAAUUAGUCAGCGGUGAAAUUUUGCGGCUCAACCGUAAAACUGCCGUUGGAACUGUUAGUCUUGAGUGCGGUAGAGGUAGGCGGAAUGUGUGGUGUAGCGGUGAAAUGCUUAGAUAUCACACAGAACACCGAUUGCGUAGGCAGCUUACUGGAGCGCAACUGACGCUGAGGUGCGAAAGCGUGGGGAGCAAACAGGAUUAGAAACCCCAGUAGUCC
rnacentral:rRNA from 1 species